rnacentral:tRNA from 1 species
GCGGGUAUCGUAUAGUGGCCAUUAUACUGCCUUGCCAAGGCAGAGAUGCGGGUUCGACUCCCGCUACCCGCUCCA